rnacentral:rRNA from 1 species
GCAUAACGCGAAGAACCUUACCACCUUUUGACAUGCCUGGACCGCCACAGAGAUGUGGCUUUCCCUUCGGGGACUGGGACACAGGUGCUGCACGGCUGUCGUCAGCUCGUGUCGUGAGAUGUCGGGUUAAGUCCCGCAACGAGCGCAACCCUCGCCAUUAGUUGCCAUCAUUCAGUUGGGAACUCUAAUGGGACUGCCGGUGCUAAGCCGGAGGAAGGUGGGGAUGACGUCAAGUCCUCAUGGCCCUUACAGGGUGGGCUACACACGUGCUACAAUGGCAACUACAGAGGGUUAAUCCUUAAAAGUUGUCUCAGUUCGGAUUGUCCUCUGCAACUCGAGGGCAUGAAGUUGGAAUCGCUAGUAAUCGCAGAUCAGCAUGCCGCGGUGAAUACGUUCCCGGGUCUUGUACACACCG